GGGAGCACAUGUUGGAGAUCAUCCAAAGAUACAUUCCACUCAACUUGUCUAUAGAUGAGGAGCACGCGUUGGAGACCAAAGAUGUGUUUCACUCAGCUCGUCCAUGGACGAAGAGUGUGCAUUGGAGAACCAUAUGAAGAAACAUUCCACUUAGCUCGUCCAUGGAUGAGGAGCGUGUGUUGAAGAAUAUAUAGAGACUCAUUUUGUUCAGCUCAUCCAUGGAUAAGGAGC
rnacentral:lncRNA from 1 species